rnacentral:snRNA from 1 species
AUGCUCGCUUCAGCAGCACAUGUAUUAAAAUUGGAACGAUACAGAGAAGACUAGCAGGGUCCCUGCAUAAGGAUGACAGGCAAAUUUGUAGAAGCGUUCCAUAUAUAU